rnacentral:misc_RNA from 1 species
CGUGGGAGCGGGCUUGCUCGCGAUGGCAUCACUGCGAUUUGGCUGAGACACCUCAUCGCUUGCAUCGCGAGCAAGCCCGCUCCCACA